rnacentral:rRNA from 1 species
UACGAAGGGUGCAAACGUUGCUCGGAAUCAUUGGGCGUAAAGCGCACGUAGGCGGCCUUAUAAGUCGGAUGUGAAAUCCCUCGGCUCAACCGAGGAAGUGCAUCCGAAACUGCAAGGCUCGAGUAUGGAAGAGGGUCGCAGAAUUCCCGGUGUAGAGGUGAAAUUCGUAGAUAUCGGGAGGAAUACCAGUGGCGAAGGCGGCGACCUGGGCCAAUACUGACGCUGAGGUGCGAAAGCGUGGGGAGCAAACAGG